AAUAAGUACAGUUUUGUACUCUUUAUAUUCAACGUUUGACCAUUUAUUUUAUUUGAAAAUUUUGUAUGAUUACUACUUUUAUUGUUAUUAAAUGAUAAAACAUGAAUAAUAUUUUAUGUGUGACUAUUUUUAAAAAUUUUUUUAUAAAUUUUUUAAAUAAGAUGGACGAUCAAACGUUGGACACCGAUUAUCAUGGCUACACUUAUU
rfam:Oryza meridionalis cultivar OR44 (W2112) chromosome 7, whole genome shotgun sequence.